AUACGGAGGAUCCGAGCGUUAUCCGGAUUUAUUGGGUUUAAAGGGUGCGCAGGCGGCCAUUUAAGUCAGCGGUUAAAUCGUGGGGCUCAACCCCAUUCUGCCGUUGAUACUGGGUGGCUUGAUUGCGGUCGAGGUUGGCGGAAUUCGUUGUGUAGCGGGGAAAUGCAUAGAUAUGACGAAGAACACCGAUUGCGUAGGCAGCUGACCAGACCGCAAAUGACGCUCAUGCACGAAAGUGCGGGGAUCGAACAGGAUUAGAUACCCUGGUAGUCCGCACAGUAAACGAUGAAUACUUGUUUUCGGCGAUAUAAUGUCGGAGGCAAAGCGAAAGCGAUAAGUAUUCCACCUGGGGAGUACGCCGGCAACGGUGAAACUUAAAGGAAUUGACGGGG
rnacentral:rRNA from 1 species